CACGUAGGGGGCAAGCGUUGUCCGGAUUUAUUGGGCGUAAAGAGCUCGUAGGCGGCUCAGUAAGUCGGGUGUGAAACCUCCAGGCUCAACCUGGAGACGCCACCCGAUACUGCUGUGGCUAGAGUCCGGUAGGGGAGCGUGGAAUUCCUGGUGUAGCGGUGAAAUGCGCAGAUAUCAGGAGGAACACCAGCGGCGAAGGCGGCGCUCUGGGCCGGAACUGACGCUGAGGAGCGAAAGCGUGGGUAGCAAACAGG
rnacentral:rRNA from 1 species